UUGGAGAAAAGAGUUUAAUGAUUCAGAUUUAUCAAGCCAAUGUACCCAUAGGUACAAAAUAUACGUUGAAGGAAACGCAUGGUGUGAAUGUGUAUAGCUGACGCUUGACAGUUUGUUUUCGGUAAUUUACGAAUUUGGUAGUAUUUAAAAAGCAAACAUCUGCCCUGGUUCAGUGGGAUCACUAACACAAUGUUUUAUAAAGAGGAAUCGCAACGCUCAAACGUAUAACCUCUACCUCAAUUUGACCGAAGAAUUCGUCUCACAACUCACACCCGCGGUUUUCUUCCUCUUCCGUCAUCCGUGGGCUGUUAAAAGUCUCCGCUGUUCUACUCAAUCAGGAUCUGUGAAGCCCUGAUUAUUCUCCAUGUCUGUUCAUUGCUUCCAUUAACAGGUAC
rnacentral:lncRNA from 1 species